GGAAUAUUGGACAAUGGGUGGAAGCCUGAUCCAGCCAUGCCGCGUGCAGGAAGACGGCCUUCUGGGUUGUAAACUGCUUUUGCCAGGGGAUAAAAUACCCAUGCGUGGGGAAUUGCAGGUACCUGGUGAAUAAGCCCCGGCUCACUACGUGCCAGCAGCCGCGGUAAUACGUAGGUGGCGAGCGUUGUCCGGAUUUAUUGGGUUUAAAGGGUGCGUAGGCGGCUUUUUAAGUCAGUGCUGAAAUACCCCGGCUUAACCGGGGGGGUGGCAUUGAUACUGGAGAGCUUGAGUUCAGUCGAGGUAGGCGGAAUUGACGGUGUAGCGGUGAAAUGCAUAGAUAUCGUCAAGAACACCGAUAGUGAAGACAGCUUACUGGAGUGAAACUGACGCUGAUGCACGAAAGUGUGGGGAUCAAAC
rnacentral:rRNA from 1 species